rnacentral:lncRNA from 1 species
UUGUUUUUAAUUUUUUCUCGUGUAUUUCGAAUUUGUUUCAUCUUAGUCCAGGUUGCAACGCAAUGUUUUGAUGGGAAGGGAAUAUUUCCCAGUUAGCCCCCCAUGUUAUCCGCGCAUCUUGUCUUGGCCCUCCAUUUUAUUUUAUUUUCGUUUUUUUUUUAAAUUCAAUUGAAUCCCCAUUAGUUUGAUUUAAUUUGCUUGUUUUUUUUAUUUAAGUAUUUAUCAUUAUGUUUUUAAAUUUAAAUCUAAUAUUAUUCAAAUGUUUAAACUUAUUAUUAUCUUAAAUUUAUCAUUACUAUUAUUUAAGUUUA